CCUAUGGUGGAGGAUAACCCCGGGAAACUGGGGAUAAUACUCCAUAAGUCAGGAGUACUGGAAUGUCUCCUAACUGAAAGUUGCGGCGCCAUAGGAUGAAUCUGCGGCCGAUUAGGUAGUUGUUGGGGUAACGGCCCAACAAGCCUGUAAUCGUUACGGGUUGUGGGAGCAAGAGCCCGGAGAUGGAAUCUGAGACACGAUUCCAGGCCCUACGGGGCGCAGCAGGCGCGAAAACUUUACAAUGCAGGAAACUGUGAUAAGGGAACCCCGAGUGCCCGUAAACGCGGGCUGUCCCGGUGUUUAAAACACAUCGGAAGAAAGGGCCGGGCAAGACCGGUGCCAGCCGCCGCGGUAAUACCGGCGGCUCGAGUGGUGACCACUUUUAUUGGGCUUAAAGCGUUCGUAGCUUGAUUUUUAAGUCUCUUGGGAAAUCUCACGGCUUAACUGUGAGGCGUCUAAGAGAUACUGGGAAUCUAGGGACCGGGAGAGGUAGAGGUACUUUCA
rnacentral:rRNA from 1 species